GCCAGGCAUGGUGGAUCAUGCUUGUAGUCCCAGUUACUCAGGAGGCUGAAGCAGGAGGAUCACUUGAGCCCAGGAGUUGGAGGCUGCAGUGAGCUUUGACUGUGCCACUGCUCUUCAGCCUGGGCAACAGAGUGAGACCCUGUCUCUU
ensembl:misc_RNA Metazoa_SRP Metazoan signal recognition particle RNA